rnacentral:rRNA from 1 species
UACGUAGGGUGCGAGCGUUAAUCGGAUUUACUGGGCGUAAAGCGUGCGCAGGCGGCCCGUUAAGACAGGUGUGAAAUCCCUGGGCUCAACCUAGGAAUUGCGCUUGUGACUGGCGGGCUCGAGUACGGUAGAGGGGGGUGGAAUUCCUGGUGUAGCAGUGAAAUGCGUAGAGAUCAGGAGGAACACCGAUGGCGAAGGCAGCCCCGUGGGCCUGUACUGACGCUCAUGCACGAAAGCGUGGGGAGCAAACAGG